rnacentral:lncRNA from 1 species
AUGUUUCAAGCAUAUACCCUGAUGUUAUGUGCAAGCAUAAACAUUUUUAUGUGUUCCGUAUUAAUCUCUGCUUACUACUUUUUAAUCUUCUUGAAUGAUUUUAAUUUUCAUGUUACUAUUUUUUCUGUAAAUUUCUUUCUAUUUUUUUUUGUUUGUUUUUUUGGUAGCGGAGAUCGAAGUCUCAGUUCCUUGUGCUUGCAAGGCAGGUGGCGGAACCACUGAGCUAAAUCCCGGGCCCCAUUUCUGUAAAUUUCUGAUGUUACAGUCUUUGUUCUUUUCCAAUAUGUAUAUCUAUUCUUUUUCAUUUCUUUUGAAGUCCCCAUUUGUGGUUCCCUGAAAUGAUAAUUAAUAAGUUGUACAUUCACUUUCAUGCUUCUACAUCGUCAAUUUUUAAUGAAGCCUUGCAUUUGAAGCAUGUGUCUUUUAAAAGUUUAUGAUUUAAUCUCUUAAUUUUUUUGGUACCAGGAAUCAAACUCAGAUCCUUGCACUUGCCAGGCAAGUGCUGUAUCACUGCACUACAUCCCUGGCCCUUAAUCUCUAAUUCUUAGGAUUUUCAAUAUGUUUCUGCUCUUGUUGUCAGAUUUUAUUUGAAUUGAUGUGAAAGCCUGCAUGUAAUAUUUCCAAUACUUUGAACAUAUUAUUUUUCCUUUUUUUUUUUUUUUGACUUUUAUUGCUACAUGUUUAAAGUACAUAAUGAUUACAUUCAUUAUAGGGUGCUGGUACAUAGCAUAAAAUAUUUCAAUUACGUUUCCCCGAGAAAUCAAAUUCUCUAUUGUUGUUCUGAACAUGAUCUAUUUGGGUGAAUAUUUCUUGUAAUUUUGAGAAGAGUUUGUACUGUGUAACUGUCCCAUUACAGAUUU